AACAAAUGAACCUUAAUGUUUCACAACAAAUAUCCAUAUACACAUAAUUAGACCUCGACCGUCAGCGGAGUGACUCUAGGCACGAUUGAUAACACUUAGUGGCACGUUAAACCUACCGAGCAAUGUAUAGGGAGGAGCACCUCGUCCUAGGAUCCAAUCACCUUUAACUCAAAAAACCUAAAACAUGAAUUUUUUUAAAAAAUGUGAGUACAAACUCAGUGAGUGAACAUAGAAAGGGAACAAGCAACGUUAAGGAAGGAUUAUAAAUCAUGAUACACAUCUUUGAAAAUAAUGCAAUUUAGUUUAGCUCUUACGAAAACCCCUCAUGUAAACCCCAAAUGAGUACAUCACUUGAUAAAAAGUGUCCAUGCUCAACAAAGGAUUUGAAGAGUGAAAACUUUAAUAGCAUUUGUGCAAUUCAAGUCAAGUAAACGAUGGGUCCUCGCUGCAACGGAAAGGUAUUCUCGCUGUAGCGAGAUUCUAACCAGCAUUACCCCUCCAAAUCCGAGAGUUUCUCACUGCAACGAGAAACAGAGCACCAUGAAAAAGUUUCUUUUCUUCCAAGAAAAAGCCAUCUUGCUAAAAUGACAAAAAAAUCAACAUGAAACGCAUAAUAAUUCCCAAAGUUCAACAUGCAAGAUUCACAUGUGCAACACCAUAUACCAUACUCAUGAACUUUCUAUAACACACAUAUCUAUAUAUGUAUAUAUAUAUAUAUAUAUAUAUCCAUCACCAUACACACCCUCCCAUCAUCAUCAGCUCAUAUGCACUCCCACUAGCACAUGGCUGGGUCAACAUCGGCUUAUGCGCACUCCUACUCGCACAUAGCUGGGUCAGCAUCGACUUAUGUGCACUCCCCCUCGCACAUAGUCAGGUCAGCAUCGGCUUAUGCACACUCCUACUCGCACAUAGUCGGGUCAAUAUCAUUACACAACAUUAUUUGUAUACACACACACACACACACACACACACAUAUAUAUAUAUAUAUAUAUAUAUAUCAACACAGUAUAGGAGCACAUAAGUCCGUCCUAUUAUACAUUUCACAUUUUCACAACAUCAAAAUAUGUUAUCAAAGGCUUGUUCCCAAGGCACACGUUUUUAAAGACAAGUUGGAAUAAAUCAUUCAAUAUUUCAUACCAAUACAAUUAUGUCUCCCAAAACGAUUUUGAAAUGCAAGUUCACUCACCUUACGAUAGUAGGAUAGUACAUCGCUAUUUGAUCGAAGGUGUCUCUGAUUAUUUUCAUUGGCCGGUUGCUUGAUGUUUACUCCGGCACGCCACCACAGUACUCUAACCUUAUCUUUUCACUUCCUAACAAUAAUACGAACUCAAUAUAUUUAAUUAUAUACAUAUACGGGCAGCACUUUAAUCAAUUAAUCCUUACUCAAAUUUAUAUUUUUCAUCCUAUCAUGAAACCAUCUUCAAUUAACUCACAUAUUAAUACACUUUUUACUAACAUUACUUAUAUCCAACGCUUACGAAAUUCCUUAAAUUAUAUCACUGGCAACUUAAUUAUGAUGUCACGUGUCUACUUCAACCUUUCUAAAUAAUUUCCACUCAAAUCCAUCUUAUAUUUCCACACAUAAUCCACAUAUAUGGCAGCAACAAUCAUUCUCACUUUCACUUGAUUAUUUUCUAGUUUACACGCAUCGUUAUCUAUCUAACUUUCAAUACUUUGUUUCUCAAUCCUCAAUCCACAAUAUUCCUUUUUCGUUUCUUUCAAACAACAUGCCAUACAAUCUUAAUAAUUUUCAACUAGCUUAGGCAAAUAGAUCCUUUCAACAACCGUAAUUCCUCACAAUAUUCAACUAACCGUAGGCUUUAAAACAUAGUGUUAAGCUUACCAUUUUCUUUUUCCACUUUGAGUCCUUCAUGUACCCUUGGGUUUAUUGGCUUACAUGUUACCAAUUUUUCUCCAAUCAAGCCAAUCUUUGCUGUCACAAGACAUUUCUCUAAGUCACUAACUCAAUUUCAAAGACUACUCAAGCCAAAAACAAGAAUUCUUACCGUUCCUUGCUUGAAUCACCAAAACCAAGCUUUUUCUUCCUUUCUCUCUUUUUCUUUCUUCUCCUCCUAGGGUUUAGAUGUGCUGGAAAUUGGGGUUAAAGGCUGUAAAUUUAGUGCUCAAGAAGUUUGGAGAAGAAAGGAAAAGAAAACAUGGAAAAGAAAGUGAAGAAAACUUGAUUUCAUGGUGGAUAAAGAGAAAAUGGCAUGGAAGCUUCAAGAAUGGCG
rnacentral:lncRNA from 1 species